UACAGAGGGGGCAAGCGUUGUUCGGAAUUACUGGGCGGAAAGGGCGCGUAGGCGGCCUUCUAAGUCGAACGUGAAAUCCCCGGGCUCAACCCGGGAACUGCGUCCGAUACUGGGAGGCUUGAAUCCGGGAGAGGGAUGUGGAAUUCCAGGUGUAGCGGUGAAAUGCGUAGAUAUCUGGAGGAACACCGGUGGCGAAGGCGGCAUCCUGGACCGGUAUUGACGCUGAGGCGCGAAAGCCAGGGGAGCAAACGGG
rnacentral:rRNA from 1 species